UUGUUAGACAUUGACAGGUUCUUUGCUAUUCAAAUAUUGAAGAUUUAAAUAGUUUUUUAAGAAAAAUUAAUAUUAAUUUGCUUGAUAUAUAUGCAUCAAAAUGCGAGAACAAAGCGAUGCACCAAAGAAACGGAGAAACCGAUUUAUUACAUGCGAGAUAUGUAAAUAUCGUGCUUUCCGAAAACCUGGCAUCAAAAGAGAAUUUAUGACGAGAUUCCCUCUAGAUGAAGCUCGUUUCUCAGAUUGAUCGAUCACCUAAUGCCGCGUAAAAUUUAUCGAAGAAUGGCAACAAAUCAUAAUUUUGCCUCAGAAUGAUCUGAACAUCUCACAAAUUGACUGGAUUUCAUAUCGGUGAGUAACAAAAUAAUAAUUUUAAUACAUUGUGAAGUUAGUUAAGUAUUAUUUUCUUAUAUAUGUACAAUUGGGGAAUCUGGUGGUGUUCCACUUUUAAACUAGAGUCGUUUGAACAUUUUGUAAACAUAGAGACAGCGAUGAACAAUAGCCAAUAGGACGCAGCUUUUAAAUGUGUCGUUUGCGUAACUUACUGCUACUUACUUGGUUGUAAGAAGAGGCGGAGGACAAGUGGAACACCGCGUAUUUCCGCGACUGUACAUCAAACUGAAAUUAAAUAUGUUUUAUUAAAUUUUAAUUUUUGUAUGCAAGGUGUGUAUUUUAACUAGUAGCGCAGCCACGACUGCAGUCUUUUAUUAAUAAAUGUAUAUAAUUAUAAAUUGAACUUUGUGGCAGUGAAAAUAAAUGUUAUUUUCCAGUGAGGUGUAUAACAGUUUGGUGGUGGGAAAAACGUUACAAGUUUGCGACUGCUAACGAGAUGGGUAUAAAAUGGGGUUAAGAUAACUAAUUAAUUGGCCCAUUUCCAUUUGGAGUCAUAUAAUACGAGUAAUGUGGAGUAUUCGAUAGUACACUACAGAAAUUCUACGCUUCCCUAGCGAGUUUAGAGAUUUUGAUUUUUCAAACUCCAUAUUUUUCGAUAUGAUUUGAAACCAAAAAACUAGUUUCAGUAUUUUUUAAAUCUGGAUAUUAAUAGUAAUUUUGUAACAAGUAUAACGUCAAGUUUUCCAUGGACGUGAAAAUUAAAAUCUGCAUUGCACGAUGGCGUCUCUGAGGAGCGCCUGAGGGCGUAAAACGAUGAUAUCGUGCUUCAAAGCCAAAAAUGUAUUAAAAGAACAAUGAAAUAAAAUAUUAAAAACUG